UAUAAAAAAUAAAUUAUACAUAUUAUUCGUAUAUGCAUAUAUAUAUAUGUAUAUGUAUAUACAUCCAUACUUUAACGUUAUUGCUUAAAAUUUGAAAGUUAUUGGAUAAACAUAUAACUAUUUUAAUAUAUAGAGGGAAAAUGAAUUUUGUUUUGUUUUUAUCUAGCAUCUUAUUGUCCCUGUAUCCCGCUUUUGCCCAAACAGCGGAAGUAUAUGAUGAAAAUCAGAAGAGUGUUCAAUUUCAUAUUAUUUUAUGGAUAGUAGUAACAUUGAUCAUUGCAUUAAUUUUGGGCACCUAUGCCAUAUAUCAAGUAGCUUUUAAAUA